AACGUUUAACUAGCCAUGAAGGUGAUAGCAGCCUAUUUGUUAGCCCAAUUGGGUGGCAAUUCUAGUCCAUCAUCUGAUGAUUUGAAGAAAAUCUUGAAUUCUGUUGGAGCUGAAAUUGAUGAUGUCAAAAUUGAACUAUUAUUGUCACAAGUUAAAGGCAAAGAUAUUAAUGAAUUAAUUGCUGCAAGAAAAUCUUGAAUUCUGUUGGAGCUGAAAUUGAUGAUGUCAAAAUUGAACUAUUAUUGUCACAAGUUAAAGGCAAAGAUAUUAAUGAAUUAAUUGCUGCUGGUAAAGAAAAAUUGGCUUCUACUUCUUGUCUGUCUUUUGGAUGUGUUGCAAAUAAUGCUAGUGUUGUCGUUG
rnacentral:lncRNA from 1 species